GAAAAAAUAUGUAUGAAUCAUUGAAAUAUGUAUAAGAAUUAUGGAGAAACACGUGAUUCCGAGAUCAAAUGUUGUGGCUGAGCCUGAGAUCAUUCUUGAUUUCUAGCUUUUAUUAAAAAAAAAAAAAUGAAAGGCUCCAGCUUUAUAAUAUCUAUAGCGUCCAAAAAGGACAGAAUUGCAAAAUAAUAUUUAGGGUGAAUAGGUAGUAUUUGAAAAUAAAAU
rnacentral:misc_RNA from 1 species